UACGUAGGGACCAAGCGUUGUUCGGAUUUACUGGGCGUAAAGGGCGCGUAGGCGGCGUGACAAGUCACUUGUGAAAUCUCCGGGCUUAACUCGGAACGGUCAAGUGAUACUGUUGUGCUAGAGUACAGAAGGGGCAAUCGGAAUUCUUGGUGUAGCGGUGAAAUGCGUAGAUAUACGGAGGAACACCAGCGGCGAAGGCGGGUAGCUGGGCCAACACUGACGCUGAUGUGCGAAAGCUAGGGGAGCAAACGGG
rnacentral:rRNA from 1 species